rnacentral:rRNA from 1 species
CCUGCGGAAUUUGACGGUACCUCCAGAGGAAGCCCCGGCUAACUCCGUGCCAGCAGCCGCGGUAAUACAAGGGGGCAAGCGUUGCUCGGAAUUAUUGGGCGUAAAGGGCGCGUAGGCGGUAUCUCAAGUCGGUCGUGAAAUCCCUGGGUUCAACCAGGAAUGCCUAUGGAAACUGCCGGUCUUGAGUCUGGAAGAGGAGACUGGAAUUCCCGGUGUAGCGGUGAAAUGCGCAGAUAUCGGGAGGAACACCGGUGGCGAAGGCGGCUCUCUGGGCCAUUCCUGACGUUGAGACGCGAAAGCUUGGGGAGCAAACAGGAUUAGAUACCCUGGUAUUCCACCCGUUAAACGAUGGCUACUGGGUGUGGGGGGCCUUCCACACCGUCCGUGCCGCAGCUAACGCAUUAAGUUCUCCG